CAGUAGCCACGGUAAUACGUAGGGUGCGAGCGUUAAUCGGAAUUACUGGGCGUAAAGCGUGCGCAGGCGGUUGUGUAAGACAGGUGUGAAAUCCCCGGGCUUAACCUGGGAACUGCGCUUGUGACUGCACAGCUAGAGUAUGGCAGAGGGGGGUGGAAUUCCGCGUGUAGCAGUGAAAUGCGUAGAUAUGCGGAGGAACACCGAUGGCGAAGGCAGCCCCCUGGGCCAACACUGACGCUCAUGCACGAAAGCGUGGGGAGCGAACAGGAUUAGAUACCCCAGUAGUCCCUGUCUCUUAUAC
rnacentral:rRNA from 1 species